rnacentral:rRNA from 1 species
AGAAUGCCUUCGGGCCCUCAAACCUCUGUGUACCAAUCUUGUCUUUGCGAGCUCGAGCAAUCGACUCGCGAUUCAAAACUGUCGAUAUUGUCUGGUUAAAUCUAAAGAAACAACUUUCAACAAUGGAUCUCUUGGCUCCGGCAUCGAUGAAGAACGCAGCGAAAUGCGAUAGCUAGUGUGAAUUGCAGAUUUUAGUGAAUCAUCGAGUUUUUGAACGCACAUUGCGCCCUUUGGUAUUCCUCAGGGCAUGCCUAUUCGAGCGUCGUUACAACCCAACGCAAGUUGUGCUGGAGAUGGCAGUGCCUCUCUUAAAAUCAUCGGCGAAGCCAAACGCAGCAGAAUGCGACUUGGUGAAUGCCGCAAAACUUUACAGUUCGACCUCGAAUUAGGUAGGGAUACCCGC